UACAGAGGUCCCGAGCGUUGUUCGGAUUCACUGGGCGUAAAGGGUGCGUAGGUGGUUGGGCAAGUCUGAUGUGAAAUCUCCGGGCUUAACCCGGAAAUGGCAUUGGAAACUGCCUGGCUAGAGUGUUGGAGGGGGGACUGGAAUUCUCGGUGUAGCAGUGAAAUGCGUAGAUAUCGAGAGGAACACCAGUGGCGAAGGCGGGUCUCCUGGGCCG
rnacentral:rRNA from 1 species